rnacentral:rRNA from 1 species
AGGGUUCGAUUCUGGCUCAGGAUGAACGCUAGCUACAGGCUUAACACAUGCAAGUCGAGGGGCAGCAUGAACUUAGCUUGCUAAGUUUGAUGGCGACCGGCGCACGGGUGAGUAACACGUAUCCAACCUUCCGUUUACUCAGGGAUAGCCUUUCGAAAGAAAGAUUAAUACCUGAUAGUAUGGUGAGAUUGCAUGAUAGCACCAUUAAAGAUUUAUUGGUAAACGAUGGGGAUGCGUUCCAUUAGGUAGUAGGCGGGGUAACGGCCCACCUAGCCGACGAUGGAUAGGGGUUCUGAGAGGAAGGUCCCCCACAUUGGAACUGAGACACGGUCCAA